CAAUAGCGUAUAUUAAAGUUGUUGCAGUUAAAAAGCUCGUAGUUGGAUUUGUGGCGUACGGUGUGUUCCGGGCACUUGUUGUCUGAGUAACCUGCUGUUGCCAUCCUUGGGUGGAACCCGUGUGGCAUUAGGUUGUCGUGCAGGGGAUGCCCAUCAUUUACUGUGAAAAAAUUAGAGUGUUCAAAGCAGGCUUAUGCCGUUGAAUAUAUUAGCAUGGAAUAAUGAGAUAGGACUUUUUUGCUAUUUUGUUGGUUUGCGCAAAGAGGUAAUGAUUAAUAGGGACAGUUGGGGGUAUUCGUAUUCCAUAGUCAGAGGUGAAAUUCUUGGAUUUUUGGAAGACGAACUACUGCGAAAGCAUUUACCAAGGAUGUUUUCAUUAA
rnacentral:rRNA from 1 species